GACAGAGGGUGCAACCGUUGUUCGGAAUUACUGGGCGUAAAGCGCGUGUAGGCGGCUGGGCAAGUCGGAUGUGAAAGCCCUGGGCUCAACCCAGGAAGUGCAUUCGAAACUGCCGAGCUGGAGUCCUGGAGAGGAAGGCGGAAUUCUCGGUGUAGAGGUGAAAUUCGUAGAUAUCGAGAGGAACACCGGUGGCGAAGGCGGCCUUCUGGACAGUGACUGACGCUGAGACGCGAAAGCGUGGGGAGCAAACAGG
rnacentral:rRNA from 1 species